GGAGGGUAUUUUCGUCGAACUAAUUCAGCCGCACCGCACCAUACCGCCGCUCCCGUCCCCCAAAUCCCCUCGAACCCUAGCCGCCCCUGCCCUCCCCAUGAACCCUAGCCGCCCCUGCCCUCCCCUCGAGCGCGAGCCGCGGCCGAUCUAGCCACCGGCGGGGCGCCGCGAGCAGCGGCCGGUCCAGCCACCGGCGUGCGGCGCAAGCAGCGGCCGGUCCAGCCACCGGAGGGGCGACGCGAGCAGCGGCCGGUCCAACCACCGGCGGGGCGACGGGAGCAGCGGCGUGACCUUGACCUCUCCAGGUUGCAGAGGUGGAAAGGAAGCAGAAGAGGGUGUCGUUCGACCAACCUCUCAGGACAAGCUGCUCACGGAGGUGCCCAAGUACAAGCGGACUAUGUUCUCUAUCCUCCCCUAGGCAACUUCAUGUUCAUCCCACAUCCAAGCCAUUAACUCGUCCAGCAAGCAAGGCAAGUAAACUAGGUAACAACCAAGCUGACUAGCACAGUUCCAAUUCCUGUGAGAUCCACUAUGACAAAGAUGACAACGAGCAAGAAACUCGCAGGUUCCUAAGAAGGCAAGGAAGUCGAUCAAUAAAAAGACAUGAUGUCUGAAGAUAGAUAUGUUGUCUUUAUCUCUACCUUUCUUUACUAAACAUCAGUUGUGCUACUUGGAGAGAUGAUGAUAACAUUGAUUUGCAUGCUAUUAUGGCUGCAUACCCUUUUGAACUGCAACUUGGAUUGCAAUCUUUAGGAGCCUUUGUGGUUGCUCCAUUUAUUCUCAUACAUCUUUUUCCAUGGUAGGAAACCUGUCAGUCGAACAAGGAGAACCGUUUCGAAGUUAAGUUCCAUCAGAAAACUGGUUCUCGCCCCUACAUUUCCCAUGUGCAUGCUUUGAAAGAGGCUCGUAAGGGUGAAGAGUUGACUUUGUUUGAUCUAUUCAAGGAGUGCCACAAUGGCAAGAAGACUGGUUUCUCUGAGCCAGUUAAGAAGGUGAUAGCUGACAUGUAAAAAGCUAUGGAACAAGGGGUACCAGAAGGUGGAGAACCAAAGAAUGUUGCUGCUGUUAUUGCUGACAUUCUCACUAAAGAAUGUCCCUCCAGCACAUUCCUUCAAAAUGUUGGCCUUGAUUCGAGGUCCAAGAAGAAGUUCAACAGGUCAGCAUCUACUUUGGAUGCUCAUGUACAAGAACUAGAGUACAAGCUUGAGAGGGAGAGGCAAGCCACUGAGUUGAUGCGAGAGGAGCUUGUUGAGGUCAAGAAGAAAUCAGAGGAGACCGAAGCUGCACGCGCCGCAGAGUAUCAGUUGUUACUGCAAAGAGUUGAGGCCACCCAUGCUAGGGCUGUAGAAAGUGAUGCUAGAUUUGCGCGUCUCAUGGAUCUAUUCGAAGGUAAAAUAGUUUAGUACGGCAUGGUUGAUGUUGGCUUUGGGACCUUUGAUGUUGAGUUGUUUGGACCUGGGGUUGAUGAGUUUUGGUUGACUGGACAUGUGAAUCACAAUAUGGACCAGGGAUUGGCUAUGGUUUGAUGAGGUUCUGUUUUGGUUGGUGCAUCUUAUGAACAUGGUGUACUGAUACUAAGCUACUGGCUAUGUUAUUUUGGUUGGUGCAUCUUAUAAAACUGUGGCGUAAUGAUACUGUUGAGCCUAA